GACGGUUUGCCUCACACCAGAUGUUUCGCCCGUUCGUUGUAGUCCCUGAUGGGACCCACCACUGCUGAGGUUGGUUCUGGACCUGACGGGUCGUCGGGGUGAAGGGCAGUGGGCUCGGUACGCAGAGCCACUGCUGAGGUUGGUUCUGGACCUGACGGGUCGUCGGGGUGAAGGGCAGUGGGCUCGGUACGCAGAGCCACUGCUGAGGGAGACGACCCUCGAAGCGUAAACGUAGUUUUAGUGAAAACUAGAGCAGAAAUACUUGGCAGGAUUUUGUGUUUUUGCAGCGUUUUGUUUUUAUUGGACAUAUUCAUAAAAGAAAAAGUUUGAUUCAGACUAUUUGUUCUGUUUUCUUUUUCUAAAGAUUGUAAUAAAGAAAAUAACACAACAAAAACAUGUCUGUACAUUCGCAUGAAGGAAAUACAAGAUUAUGUCCAUUUAAGCACUUGAUCUUUAACCUUUAUCUGAAUUGUAUUCAGUUCAAAACAAAAUGUGUCAAAGUAUAUGUUGAUUGUCGAUGCCUUUACAGACUGAAAAUAGCGGGACUUCCUGUUUUUGAUGCUUUUAUUUUUUUAUUUUUUUGGUCACUGAUCGAAGCUCAUUAAUGGAAAAUUGGGCCGAUUUCGACCUCCAGCAGUUUUAUCGGCGCACAAGAUAAAAUAUAUAUUGACUUUUCUUGUCCCUUUUUGGCUUGUUUUUAACACAAACCCUCCAAUGUCCAUUAAGAGAUGAAACUGAGGACCUUUAACAUCCUCCAGAAGGUGGCGCUAGAAGCUGAUCUAGUUUUUUCCAUCCAGAAUCUUCUUUUUAUGCCUUGUAAAUCGGCCAAAAUGUGCUUUUCAUUUCUUAAACCGACGGUGGAAAACAGUUUUUAAAAACAAAGUAUUGAACAAAAAACAAAGUGUCAAUUUGAGGUAUUUUGUUUCUAAUAAUUUAACGUUAAUUUCGGGAUGAAGUUCUUUGAUAUUAAGCAUUUCAGUUGUUUGUUGUCCAUGACUCCUUGUUCUGUUGUCGCCUCAGUGCCAAAGCUUUGAAUGUACUUUAUUUUAUUGACUCUUUGUUAGUUGCAUUCCUCCAGCAGUCCAAUAAAAACCACAUCUCGCUUUCCUGUUGCGCCCUGGAAGAUUUCCUCCUGUUUGCAUCUAUUAACAAUUUGUUUUGUCUUUUAAUGUUAGGCGUGUAGCGCUCAUUGUUUUUCUUUUUUAUUGUUCUUUGUUUUUAACAUUUUCUGGGAUCAAUUGAUGAUAUCACCAACAUUCAUGUGUGUGUUUUGGGUACUUGUGCGUCGUACGUGAUUAUUACUCAUAUUGACAACUUUUGAAAUCUAAGAGGGAAUUAGGCUUUGAAGUGGAUUUUUAAGAUGAAUAAUUUGUGAGAAAAUGUCUGAAUUAAAAUAAAAUGUUCAUCUGGC